GACGAACGCUGGCGGCGUGCUUAACACAUGCAAGUCGAACGGAAAGGCCCUGCUUUUGUGGGGUGCUCGAGUGGCGAACGGGUGAGUAACACGUGAGUAACCUGCCCUUGACUUUGGGAUAACUUCAGGAAACUGGGGCUAAUACCGGAUAGGAGCUCCUGCUGCAUGGUGGGGGUUGGAAAGUUUCGGCGGUUGGGGAUGGACUCGCGGCUUAUCAGCUUGUUGGUGGGGUAGUGGCUUACCAAGGCUUUGACGGGUAGCCGGCCUGAGAGGGUGACCGGCCACAUUGGGACUGAGGGACGGACCAGACUCCUACGGGGGGCAGCAGUGGGGAAUAUUGCACAGUGAGCGGAAGCCGGAUGAAGCAACGCCGCGUGCGGGAUGACGGCCUUCGGGUUGUAAACCGCUUUCGCCUGUGACGAAGCGUGAGUGACGGUAAUGGGUAAAGAAGCACCGGCUAACUACGUG
rnacentral:rRNA from 1 species